rnacentral:rRNA from 1 species
GAGUUCCCUUCGGGGACAUUGGUGACAGGUGGUGCAUGGUUGUCGUCAGCUCGUGUCGUGAGAUGUUGGGUUAAGUCCCGCAACGAGCGCAACCCUUGUCUUUAGUUGCCAUCAUUAAGUUGGGCAUGCCAGAUAGACUGCCAGGGAUAACCUGGAGGAAGGUGGGUAGGCAGUCAAAGCAACAUGCCCCGGAUGCUUAGGGCUACACACGUGCUACAAUGGGUAGAACAGAGGCUUGCCAAGCCGUAAGG